GGGUUGUGAGGUUAAGCGACUAAGCGUACACGGUGGAUGCCCUGGCAGUCAGAGGCGAUGAAGGACGUGCUAAUCUGCGAUAAGCGUCGGUAAGGUGAUAUGAACCGUUAUAACCGGCGAUUUCCGAAUGGGGAAACCCAGUGUGAUUCGUCACACUAUCAUUAACUGAAUCCAUAGGUUAAUGAGGCGAACCGGGGGAACUGAAACAUCUAAGUACCCCGAGGAAAAGAAAUCAACCGAGAUUCCCCCAGUAGCGGCGAGCGAACGGGGAGCAGCCCAGAGCCUGAAUCAGUGUGUGUGUUAGUGGAAGCGUCUGGAAAGGCGUGCGAUACAGGGUGACAGCCCCGUACACAAAAAUGCACAUGCUGUGAGCUCGAUGAGUAGGGCGGGACACGUGGUAUCCUGUCUGAAUAUGGGGGGACCAUCCUCCAAGGCUAAAUACUCCUGACUGACCGAUAGUGAACCAGUACCGUGAGGGAAAGGCGAAAAGAACCCCGGCGAGGGGAGUGAAAAAGAACCUGAAACCGUGUACGUACAAGCAGUGGGAGCACGCUUAGGCGUGUGACUGCGUACCUUUUGUAUAAUGGGUCAGCGACUUAUAUUCUGUAGCAAGGUUAACCGAAUAGGGGAGCCGAAGGGAAACCGAGUCUUAACUGGGCGUUAAGUUGCAGGGUAUAGACCCGAAACCCGGUGAUCUAGCCAUGGGCAGGUUGAAGGUUGGGUAACACUAACUGGAGGACCGAACCGACUAAUGUUGAAAAAUUAGCGGAUGACUUGUGGCUGGGGGUGAAAGGCCAAUCAAACCGGGAGAUAGCUGGUUCUCCCCGAAAGCUAUUUAGGUAGCGCCUCGUGAAUUCAUCUCCGGGGGUAGAGCACUGUUUCGGCAAGGGGGUCAUCCCGACUUACCAACCCGAUGCAAACUGCGAAUACCGGAGAAUGUUAUCACGGGAGACACACGGCGGGUGCUAACGUCCGUCGUGAAGAGGGAAACAACCCAGACCGCCAGCUAAGGUCCCAAAGUCAUGGUUAAGUGGGAAACGAUGUGGGAAGGCCCAGACAGCCAGGAUGUUGGCUUAGAAGCAGCCAUCAUUUAAAGAAAGCGUAAUAGCUCACUGGUCGAGUCGGCCUGCGCGGAAGAUGUAACGGGGCUAAACCAUGCACCGAAGCUGCGGCAGCGACACUAUGUGUUGUUGGGUAGGGGAGCGUUCUGUAAGCCUGUGAAGGUGUACUGUGAGGUAUGCUGGAGGUAUCAGAAGUGCGAAUGCUGACAUAAGUAACGAUAAAGCGGGUGAAAAGCCCGCUCGCCGGAAGACCAAGGGUUCCUGUCCAACGUUAAUCGGGGCAGGGUGAGUCGACCCCUAAGGCGAGGCCGAAAGGCGUAGUCGAUGGGAAACAGGUUAAUAUUCCUGUACUUGGUGUUACUGCGAAGGGGGGACGGAGAAGGCUAUGUUGGCCGGGCGACGGUUGUCCCGGUUUAAGCGUGUAGGCUGGUUUUCCAGGCAAAUCCGGAAAAUCAAGGCUGAGGCGUGAUGACGAGGCACUACGGUGCUGAAGCAACAAAUGCCCUGCUUCCAGGAAAAGCCUCUAAGCAUCAGGUAACAUCAAAUCGUACCCCAAACCGACACAGGUGGUCAGGUAGAGAAUACCAAGGCGCUUGAGAGAACUCGGGUGAAGGAACUAGGCAAAAUGGUGCCGUAACUUCGGGAGAAGGCACGCUGAUAUGUAGGUGAAGUCCCUCGCGGAUGGAGCUGAAAUCAGUCGAAGAUACCAGCUGGCUGCAACUGUUUAUUAAAAACACAGCACUGUGCAAACACGAAAGUGGACGUAUACGGUGUGACGCCUGCCCGGUGCCGGAAGGUUAAUUGAUGGGGUCAGCGCAAGCGAAGCUCUUGAUCGAAGCCCCGGUAAACGGCGGCCGUAACUAUAACGGUCCUAAGGUAGCGAAAUUCCUUGUCGGGUAAGUUCCGACCUGCACGAAUGGCGUAAUGAUGGCCAGGCUGUCUCCACCCGAGACUCAGUGAAAUUGAACUCGCUGUGAAGAUGCAGUGUACCCGCGGCAAGACGGAAAGACCCCGUGAACCUUUACUAUAGCUUGACACUGAACAUUGAGCCUUGAUGUGUAGGAUAGGUGGGAGGCUUUGAAGUGUGGACGCCAGUCUGCAUGGAGCCGACCUUGAAAUACCACCCUUUAAUGUUUGAUGUUCUAACGUUGACCCGUGAUCCGGGUUGCGGACAGUGUCUGGUGGGUAGUUUGACUGGGGCGGUCUCCUCCUAAAGAGUAACGGAGGAGCACGAAGGUUGGCUAAUCCUGGUCGGACAUCAGGAGGUUAGUGCAAUGGCAUAAGCCAGCUUGACUGCGAGCGUGACGGCGCGAGCAGGUGCGAAAGCAGGUCAUAGUGAUCCGGUGGUUCUGAAUGGAAGGGCCAUCGCUCAACGGAUAAAAGGUACUCCGGGGAUAACAGGCUGAUACCGCCCAAGAGUUCAUAUCGACGGCGGUGUUUGGCACCUCGAUGUCGGCUCAUCACAUCCUGGGGCUGAAGUAGGUCCCAAGGGUAUGGCUGUUCGCCAUUUAAAGUGGUACGCGAGCUGGGUUUAGAACGUCGUGAGACAGUUCGGUCCCUAUCUGCCGUGGGCGCUGGAGAACUGAGGGGGGCUGCUCCUAGUACGAGAGGACCGGAGUGGACGCAUCACUGGUGUUCGGGUUGUCAUGCCAAUGGCACUGCCCGGUAGCUAAAUGCGGAAGAGAUAAGUGCUGAAAGCAUCUAAGCACGAAACUUGCCCCGAGAUGAGUUCUCCCUGACUCCUUGAGAGUCCUGAAGGAACGUUGAAGACGACGACGUUGAUAGGCCGGAUGUGUAAGCGCAGCGAUGCGUUGAGCUAACCGGUACUAAUGAACCGUGAGGCUUAACCUUACAACGCCGAAGGUGUUU
rnacentral:rRNA from 1 species